rnacentral:rRNA from 1 species
GACGAACGCUGGCGGCGUGCUUAACACAUGCAAGUCGAGCGGUAAGGCCCUUUCGGGGGUACGACGAGCGGCGAACGGGUAGAGUAACACGUGGGUGACCUGCCCUUAGCUCUGGGAUAAGCCUGGGAAACUGGGUCUAAUACCGGAUAUGACUCCAUAACGCAUGUUGUGGGGUGGAAAGCCUUGUGCGGCUAGGGAUGGGCCCGCGGCCUAUCAGCUUGUUGGUGGGGUGAUGGCCACCAAGGCGACGACGGGUAGCCGGCCUGAGAGGGCGACCGGCCACACUGGGACUGAGACACGGCCCAGACUCCUACGGGAGG